rnacentral:rRNA from 1 species
GAUGAACGCUAGCGGCAGGCCUAACACAUGCAAGUCGAGGGGUAGAAGGAGCUUGCUCCUUUGAGACCGGCGCACGGGUGCGUAACGCGUAUGCAAUCUACCUUUUACAGAGGGAUAGCCCAGAGAAAUUUGGAUUAAUACCUCAUAGUAUAUAUCAUUCGCAUGUUUGGUAUAUUCAAGUUCCCACGGUAAAAGAUGAGCAUGCGUCCCAUUAGUUAGUUGGUAAGGUAACGGCUUACCAAGACGAUGAUGGGUAGGGGUCCUGAGAGGGAGAUCCCCCACACUGGUACUGAGACACGGACCAGACUCCGACGGGAGGCAGCAGUGAGGAAUAUUGGUCAAUGGACGCAAGUCUGAACCAGCCAUGCCGCGUGCAGGAAGACGGUCCUAUGGAUUGUAAACUGCUUUUGUACGGGAAGAAACACUCCUACGUGUAGGAGCCUGACGGUACCGUAAGAAUAAGGAUCGGCUAACUCCGUGCCAGCCGCCGCAGUAAGAC